GCCGCUUUAGCUCAGUUGGUAGAGCGCAUCCAUGGUAAGGAUGAGGUCGACGGUUCGAGCCCGUCAAGUGGCU
rnacentral:tRNA from 1 species